GAUUUGUUAAACAGGCACAUGGUAAUGGGUUUCUAUAAGGAGAUCCACAGACUCAUGGUUCUGGAAAAGAAGGGAGCUGGUGAGAUGACUGUGACUUUUCCUCGCUUGGAGCUUCCAGGAGUGUGAGUUCACCUCUGACUAUGGCGCCGUGACCCACAAUGAGGAAGAGCGUAUCUAUAGGGUCAAAACUCUAGAGCUUGAAGGGUCAACAGAAGCCAAACCCCUCAUUUAACAUCUGAGCAAUUGAGUUCCUGACAAGUCUGAUGACUUGUCCAAGGUCACAUAGGAAGGAGAGGCAGAGCUAGUAUUCAACAUAAGUGAGUUCAAGACUGUCCACUCUCGUGAGCCAUUUUGCCUAUGAGGGGUGUUUAUUCUCCCUCAGAAGAACUUUAGGUAUAGGGAUUUGUACCCCCAAAUCCCAAUUUCCCUUCAUAACUCAACAUGGAUUUGUCAUAUAUAUAUUACACAUAUGGAUUUCCAAAUCUGCCUUGACCUUUCCCCAAAAGUGUUAGAAUUUUCUCCA
rnacentral:lncRNA from 1 species